UACGGGGGGGGCAAGCGUUGUUCGGAAUUACUGGGCGUAAAGGGCUCGUAGGCGGCCAACUAAGUCCGACGUGAAAUCCCCAGGCUUAACCUGGGAACUGCGUCGGAUACUGGAUGGCUUGAAUUCGGGAGAGGGAUGCAGAAUUCCAGGUGUAGCGGUGAAAUGCGUAGAUAUCUGGAGGAAUACCGGUGACGAAGGCGAGUCCCUAGACGACUCCUGACACUGAGGCACGAAAGCUAGGGGAGCAAACAGG
rnacentral:rRNA from 1 species